rnacentral:rRNA from 1 species
AUUGAACGCUGGCGGCAGGCCUAACACAUGCAAGUCGAGCGGAUGAAGGGAGCUUGCUCCUGGAUUCAGCGGCGGACGGGUGAGUAAUGCCUAGGAAUCUGCCUGGUAGUGGGGGAUAACGUCCGGAAACGGGCGCUAAUACCGCAUACGUCCUGAGGGAGAAAGUGGGGGAUCUUCGGACCUCACGCUAUCAGAUGAGCCUAGGUCGGAUUAGCUAGUUGGUGGGGUAAAGGCCUACCAAAGCGACGAUCCGUAACUGGUCUGAGAGGAUGAUCAGUCACACUGGAACUGAGACACGGUCCAGACUCCUACGGGAGGCAGCAGUGGGGAAUAUUGGACAAUGGGCGAAAGCCUGAUCCAGCCAUGCCGCGUGUGUGAAGAAGGUCUUCGGAUUGUAAAGCACUUUAAGUUGGGAGGAAGGGCAGUAAGUUAAUACCUUGCUGUUUUGACGUUACCAACAGAAUAAGCACCGGCUAACUUCGUG